rnacentral:snoRNA from 1 species
GGGGAUGAUGAUCCCAGGUGACUCUGAGUGUCUCUGACGCC